GAAUCGAUCGGGAGAUGCCGGUAGAAGUUGUUGAAAGCCAGGCUGGAAUGGCCAGGAGCUGCGCGCCGCCGGCCCCGUCGCAAAGCGGAGCAGCUGAACUUUGUGGGGUCUGAACAUUUGUCUCCUCUGCGAACGCUCUGGGCAGCGCGAACGGGAGAGCCAGGACCGCGCCGCGCACCUUGAGCCUGACCGAGCCUGGGGCAGAGCCAAGGGGGGAUUUCUGUCUCGCCAAGGACCAUCGCCUCUGAAGAAAAAAAGCUGGAGAAGGGCAAUUUAUCUUUCUUUUCCAGAUGACUGAAAAUAUCUACAGGAUCCUGUCUCUCCGGUUUUCAUCGGUGAGUAGCAUAAGGGACAGGCGGCUGAGGAACAAAAAUGAUAUCGGUCAAAAUCAUCCCAGCACCUACUUUUUCCUAAGGAACUUCAUGCCCAUAGGGGUUUUCUGCGGGCAUUUCCAGGAGUGAGACGAGGUAUCAGAGAUGCAUCCCUACCGGAUCAUGUAAGAAUUUGCAAAUGAGAAACGUACCCCAUCCAGACCUUCUCUGCCCGCUUUGCAGUACAUGGUUUGGUGUAAGCACAGCAAUUCUCACCUCUUUCUCUCCCUUUUAAGUCUCUUGAGCUUGGAGACCUCUUUCCUCAUUGCAAUUAUGAUUAUUUGCAACAUCAGUGCCAUCAAAGAUUGGAGCACUUUCCUUUCCCAAAUCCUCCCCAGCGUUAACAAGACUCUGAACUUGGUACAGCAAGUGGAAGCCACCACCAGCUCGGUGGUAAGUGUCCUCCAGGACCCCGAACAGGACAGCUACCUGUCCAAUAGCCAGUCCAUGAACUCCAGCAACUUCACAGCUGGCCUGGACCACUUGUUCCAGUACUCAUACUCGGACAAUGACCAGCUCUACAAGGAGUACAAACCCCCUCCUCGAGAUGCCAUUCCUCUGCCCAAGGCUGUCCUCUACCUCCUCAUGGCAGCCCUGGUGGUGGUGGCAGUGGCGUACGCCAUCGUCGGGCAUCUCAUCAAGGACCUCGUUUACGACUUUGUAGACUGGAUCUUUGGCCCCAACCCGGAUGACAACAGCAACAAGAGCGACAUCAACUGCAUCAGCAACAGCGUCAACGAGAUGAGCGAGAUGCCCGAGGCGCCGCAGCGGCACCGGGAGCGGCAGCCCCAGGACGUGGUCAUUGCCAUCAGCGAGACCUGCCACCUGCCACAGCAGACGUGACCGGCGCCACGCCCGGGCCAGGCGGGAUGGAGCAGCGGGAUGGAGCAGCGGGAUGCAGAGGAGGGAUGGAGCAGUGAAACAGUGCAGCAGCCGCCUUGCAGGGCCGGGCGGGAGAGGAAGGGAUGGGCAGAGCCGGCGCCGUGGAGCAAAGCCCUCCUCCCCUGGUUUUACCGGUCUCUGAGGACCUCGUGGGGGUGGGUGGCAUCACCCCUUCUCCCAGGCUUGUCAGUCCUGUCCUGACGUCUGCCCUUGGGUUUGUGACCCCCUCUUUGUUCCCUGUGAAUAGCAAAAAAGAAAAAGCAAAUGCAAAAUACACCCACCAGACAAAGCUUGCAAGAGAAAUGAGCUGCAGAGAGGCCGGGCAGUCCUUUGGCAUGUGGCUGCCCAGUGGCAUGGGAGUGGGGUGGGGAAAAGGGCAAAGGAGACAAGGAGGCUGCAGAGAAAUGUGUGGUUAUCUGCAUUUCUGGGGACAGGCCCAGGGCACAGCAGGGAGCUGGGAGCUGCAGAAAGGCACAGAAAGGUCAG
ensembl:lncRNA